rnacentral:rRNA from 2 species
GGUUAAGCGACUAAGCGUACACGGUGGAUGCCCUGGCAGUCAGAGGCGAUGAAGGGCGUGCUAAUCUGCGAUAAGCGCCGGUAAGGUGAUAUGAACCGUUAUAACCGGCGAUACCCGAAUGGGGAAACCCAGUGUGACUCGUCACACUAUCAUUAACUGAAUCCAUAGGUUAAUGAGGCGAACCGGGGGAACUGAAACAUCUAAGUACCCCGAGGAAAAGAAAUCAACCGAGAUUCCCCCAGUAGCGGCGAGCGAACGGGGAGGAGCCCAGAGCCUGAAUCAGCAUGUGUGUUAGUGGAAGCGUCUGGAAAGGCGCGCGAUACAGGGUGACAGCCCCGUACACAAAAGCGCAUGUGCUGUGAGCUCGAUGAGUAGGGCGGGACACGUGGUAUCCUGUCUGAAUAUGGGGGGACCAUCCUCCAAGGCUAAAUACUCCUGACUGACCGAUAGUGAACCAGUACCGUGAGGGAAAGGCGAAAAGAACCCCGGCGAGGGGAGUGAAAAAGAACCUGAAACCGUGUACGUACAAGCAGUGGGAGCACAGGUUUACCUGUGUGACUGCGUACCUUUUGUAUAAUGGGUCAGCGACUUAUAUUCUGUAGCAAGGUUAACCGAAUAGGGGAGCCGGAGGGAAACCGAGUCUUAACCGGGCGUUAAGUUGCAGGGUAUAGACCCGAAACCCGGUGAUCUAGCCAUGGGCAGGUUGAAGGUUGGGUAACACUAACUGGAGGACCGAACCGACUAAUGUUGAAAAAUUAGCGGAUGACCUGUGGCUGGGGGUGAAAGGCCAAUCAAACCGGGAGAUAGCUGGUUCUCCCCGAAAGCUAUUUAGGUAGCGCCUCGUGAAUUCAUCUCCGGGGGUAGAGCACUGUUUCGGCUAGGGGGCCAUCCCGGCUUACCAACCCGAUGCAAACUGCGAAUACCGGAGAAUGUUAUCACGGGAGACACACGGCGGGUGCUAACGUCCGUCGUGAAGAGGGAAACAACCCAGACCGCCAGCUAAGGUCCCAAAGUCAUGGUUAAGUGGGAAACGAUGUGGGAAGGCCCAGACAGCCAGGAUGUUGGCUUAGAAGCAGCCAUCAUUUAAAGAAAGCGUAAUAGCUCACUGGUCGAGUCGGCCUGCGCGGAAGAUGUAACGGGGCUAAACCAUGCACCGAAGCUGCGGCAGCGAACGUAUCACUUAAAGCGAUUCAGCGGGUUACGAUUGACGGAGCGAAGCGACGUCAAAGCGUAUACAAAGUCGAGUCGGUUUAAGGAUACGUUCGUUGGGUAGGGGAGCGUUCUGUAAGCCUGUGAAGGUGGCCUGUGAGGGUUGCUGGAGGUAUCAGAAGUGCGAAUGCUGACAUAAGUAACGAUAAAGCGGGUGAAAAGCCCGCUCGCCGGAAGACCAAGGGUUCCUGUCCAACGUUAAUCGGGGCAGGGUGAGUCGACCCCUAAGGCGAGGCCGAAAGGCGUAGUCGAUGGGAAACGGGUUAAUAUUCCCGUACUUGGUGUUACUGCGAAGGGGGGACGGAGAAGGCUAUGUUGGCCGGGCGACGGUUGUCCCGGUUUAAGCGUGUAGGUGUGUGUUCCAGGUAAAUCCGGUUCACUUUAACACUGAGGCGUGAUGACGAGGCACUACGGUGCUGAAGCAACAAAUGCCCUGCUUCCAGGAAAAGCCUCUAAGCAUCAGGUAACAUCAAAUCGUACCCCAAACCGACACAGGUGGUCAGGUAGAGAAUACCAAGGCGCUUGAGAGAACUCGGGUGAAGGAACUAGGCAAAAUGGUGCCGUAACUUCGGGAGAAGGCACGCUGACACGUAGGUGAAGUGAUUUACUCAUGGAGCUGAAGUCAGUCGAAGAUACCAGCUGGCUGCAACUGUUUAUUAAAAACACAGCACUGUGCAAACACGAAAGUGGACGUAUACGGUGUGACGCCUGCCCGGUGCCGGAAGGUUAAUUGAUGGGGUCAGCGCAAGCGAAGCUCCUGAUCGAAGCCCCGGUAAACGGCGGCCGUAACUAUAACGGUCCUAAGGUAGCGAAAUUCCUUGUCGGGUAAGUUCCGACCUGCACGAAUGGCGUAAUGAUGGCCAGGCUGUCUCCACCCGAGACUCAGUGAAAUUGAACUCGCUGUGAAGAUGCAGUGUACCCGCGGCAAGACGGAAAGACCCCGUGAACCUUUACUAUAGCUUGACACUGAACAUUGAGCCUUGAUGUGUAGGAUAGGUGGGAGGCUUUGAAGCGUGGACGCCAGUCUGCGUGGAGCCGACCUUGAAAUACCACCCUUUAAUGUUUGAUGUUCUAACGUGGACCCGUAAUCCGGGUUGCGGACAGUGUCUGGUGGGUAGUUUGACUGGGGCGGUCUCCUCCUAAAGAGUAACGGAGGAGCACGAAGGUUGGCUAAUCCUGGUCGGACAUCAGGAGGUUAGUGCAAUGGCAUAAGCCAGCUUGACUGCGAGCGUGACGGCGCGAGCAGGUGCGAAAGCAGGUCAUAGUGAUCCGGUGGUUCUGAAUGGAAGGGCCAUCGCUCAACGGAUAAAAGGUACUCCGGGGAUAACAGGCUGAUACCGCCCAAGAGUUCAUAUCGACGGCGGUGUUUGGCACCUCGAUGUCGGCUCAUCACAUCCUGGGGCUGAAGUAGGUCCCAAGGGUAUGGCUGUUCGCCAUUUAAAGUGGUACGCGAGCUGGGUUUAGAACGUCGUGAGACAGUUCGGUCCCUAUCUGCCGUGGGCGCUGGAGAACUGAGGGGGGCUGCUCCUAGUACGAGAGGACCGGAGUGGACGCAUCACUGGUGUUCGGGUUGUCAUGCCAAUGGCACUGCCCGGUAGCUAAAUGCGGAAGAGAUAAGUGCUGAAAGCAUCUAAGCACGAAACUUGCCCCGAGAUGAGUUCUCCCUGAGACUUUAGGUCUCCUGAAGGAACGUUGAAGACGACGACGUUGAUAGGCCGGGUGUGUAAGCGCAGCGAUGCGUUGAGCUAACCGGUACUAAUGAACCGUGAGGCUUAACCUU